UACGUGGGGUGCGAGCGUUGUUCGGAAUUACUGGGCGUAAAGCGUGUGUAGGCGGCUCGUUAAGUCUGAUGUGAAAUCUCUGGGCUUAACCCAGAAACUGCAUCGGAAACUAGCGAGCUAGAGUUCGGGAGAGGGUCGUGGAAUUCCUGGUGUAGAGGUGAAAUGCGUAGAUAUCGGAAGGAACAUCAGUGGCGAAAGCGACUUCCUGGACCAGUACCGACGUUCAGGCACGAAAGCGUGGGGAGCAAACAGG
rnacentral:rRNA from 1 species